UAUAAUAGAUCAGUACAAAACUACAGCCAGUAUUUCAACAGCGCCACAGUCUUGAAAAUCCCUGUACAUCUAAAGCAACAUACAUAUUUGUCAAAAGAAGAGGUAUUGUAUUGAUUAAAUGGGCAAUAAGCCAUUGGCACGACACCACCACCGAGUGCGUGGAGAGAAAGAAGCUCAGAAGAGGGAAGGAGAAAGGUUGAGUACCUCCCAGUAUUCGGCCGACGACUAAGGUGGUUAAGAUGACGAAGGUUACUGUCAUUUGGAUAACAAUUUUCGCAAGCGUUUUCUACACUACAAGGACACAGUCAACUUACAGUUUGAGAGAGCAACCGAGCACCUGUAUUCCCAUGAUGGGUUUGACCUAUGAUUUUCGCACUACCUUCUCUAUGCUGUGUGGUGUGCUGUGUGGUGAAAGGAGGGCCGUGAAGUACACCUUUAACAGCAACACCAACAAAUGUACUCUGUACGGAGAAGGUUAUGGCCCGGCCUCCUCCACAAACACCUUCCUUAUGUUCCCGUCACAAGAUUCCCUGGAGGAUGUGGCCACAGGAAAGCCAGCUUCCGCAAGCAGCGUUUAUUUGCAAGUAUCCAGCAACAACUCUUCUUGUAAGAGCUUUAGUUUGAUAUGUUGGAUUCGGAAUUUAUGAAAACAUUUUUUUUUCUUUUAAUACCGAACAAAACAAAUUUCAGGUCAUACAUACCUUCUAUGGCCGUGGACACAAUCGAGACGGAUGACAGUAUGUUCCACUCAGCUGUAGCUGAUUCACAACCCUGGUGGCUGCUGGACCUCGGCGAGACACGGGUGAUUCAUGAGGUCCAAAUCCUUCCUCGUCGCAAUUGCUGCCCUUUCAGGUUCCACGAUAUUGAGAUUCGCAUAGGUGACGUGCAGCCACCCAAUGGUGACUUUUCAUCGUUCACUCCGUUCUCGACGUACAAGGGUCCUUAUUCCGCCGCUCUUGGCCGUCUUUCAUGCGCUAGGGGUGAUGGCCUCAGUGGCAGGUUCGUCGUCAUCAUAAAGGUGAUACCAGGUGAUCAGUAUGUACUCCAGGUAGCUGAUGUUAAUAUCUUUGUCCAGAAGUAAUUAACUAGUGAUAACGCUCUGAUGUUACAACUUCUUUAUGAUAUGAUAGGCAGUUAUCAUUGCAAAUAUGAAUACUUAUUGUAUCUUGUUAGAAUGCUGAAAUGGUUUUCUUUGUGUCUACUAAAGAGCAGUAUGUGGGCCAGCAAAUUAGGUCAUAUCCACCGUGUGUAACAUGUAGAGAAAUCCAUAACGCGGGGUAAGAUAACAUUAAUGUCGGGGGAAUGAGCGUGCCGUCGCCAUCCACAGUAGUCUGGAAGAGUUUAGUGAGGAAAAGACAAACUGCAGCCGCCUCUACCGCUGCCAACAUAUAGGCUAAAAUUCAGUGAGUUUAAGCAGAUAUCACAUAGGAGCAUAUUUCCAUUGACCGUCUAUCCUCGAUCUUCCGACAUAGGAUGCUAGCGUCGAGUCUGUCUUGCACACACACACACACACACACACACACACACACACACACGGCCUUCUACCAUCCAGUACUCGUCCUCUGAUUUGUAUCUCAGCAACUAUGACGGACUUAUUUAGAAGUGAUGGAAUGUUUUCCAGUGAUGCUAAUGACACAAUGACGUUAAUUCAACUUGUGAAGCAGGUGGAAGGUUAGUUUAAAUUAGGUUAGAAUAUGGUUGCGCACCACAGAAUUAAGUUUGGUUAACCACAUGGUUAGGUUAAACCCUGAAGGGUUUAGUUGAGGUUAGGCCCCGUAAGAUUAGAUUUUGGAUUAAAUAUGGCUAAUACUUUUUUUUUUUCUUGCUUUGGAGUUUUUGGUUUAGGUCUACUGAAUAUUGAUGAAAUCAGUAUCCUGUUCUAGGUUCUUAAAAUCUGAAGAAUUCUCUUCCUACAAGCUGACAGGUUCCUUAACUUUUCAAUGAGGGAUACCUGAGGAUUUCUCCACCAUCUUAUUCUUUCCUCUAGAUUGAAUAUACUGUUCAUCACUUCCUUUACUUCAGAAAUAUAUACAGAAAAAAUCAAGACAUGUCUGGACCUGCUCAGCUGGUUCUUUUACGUGCAUAUUGGUAAUAUUCACUCUAGUAAUUUUUCACUUGCUAAGUCUUCAUGCAUAGUUAAUAAACAUCCAUAAAACAUGUAUUUGUAUGAUUUGAGGUCUAACGUUAUGAAUAUCACCGUGAUAUUAUAAGAUGUGAACACAACCAAGCACCAUUUUGGAUCCUACCGUCGGCUGUCGACACUGCUUCCCUUUUGUGCCAGAAAAAAGCAAGCUAAAGUCCGAGAGGAAGACAACGCUACCGUCCGACUUCGCAGGAGUGCUGGUGUGAUAUCAGCUUCAGGGUCCUGAGACAAACAUUCGCUAACUCUUUACUAAAGUAAUACAGCAUAGUGUAUACAGACAUUAGAUAUGUACUCCUGCUUUGAAAAUUAAAUACCAUGUUACUA